rnacentral:tRNA from 2 species
UACAUACUAGCCAAAUGGAAAAGGCACUUGACUUGAGAUCAAGCAACUGCGGGUUCAAAUCCCGUGUGUG